rnacentral:rRNA from 1 species
UACGAAGGGGGCUAGCGUUGCUCGGAAUGACUGGGCGUAAAGGGCGCGUAGGCGGAUGGCACAGUCAGAUGUGAAAUUCCCGGGCUUAACCUGGGGGCUGCAUUUGAUACGUGUGAUCUAGAGUGAGGAAGAGGGUCGUGGAAUUCCCAGUGUAGUGGUGAAAUGCGUAGAUAUCGGGAGGAACACCAGUGGCGAAGGCGACUAUCUGGGCUGAAACUGACGCUGGAGGCGCGAAAGGCUAGGGGAGCAAACAGG